rnacentral:rRNA from 1 species
GUGAGGAAUAUUGGUCAAUGGGCGGAAGCCUGAACCAGCCAAGUCGCGUGAAGGAAGAAGGAUCUAUGGUUUGUAAACUUCUUUUGAAGGGGGAUAAAGUGCGUCACGAGUGGUGCAUUGCAGGUACCCUUGGAAUAAGCAUCGGCUAACUCCGUGCCAGCAGCCGCGGUAAUACGGAGGAUGCGAGCGUUAUCCGGAUUUAUUGGGUUUAAAGGGUGCGUAGGUGGCUUUUUAAGUCAGCGGUGAAAACUGGCGGCUAAACCGCAAGAGUGCCGUUGAAACUGGGGAGCUAGAGUAUGAACGAGGUAGGCGGAAUGUGUGGUGUAGCGGUGAAAUGCAUAGAUAUCACGCAGAACUCCGAUAGCGAAGGCAGCUUACCAGGCCAUAACAGACACUGAAGCACGAAAGCGUGGGGAUCGAACAGGAUUAGAAACCCGAGUAGUCC